rnacentral:sRNA from 2 species
UGUAUCUGAGGCCUGACGAGGAUGAGAACCUCCGGGGGCAAGAGGUUCGACCCGAGCGAAGCGAGAGAACGUUGCGCCAGCAACGGCCCGCAGGGCGAGCCACGCAGUGGCGAGUCAUCCUCUAUCACCGACCA